AAAGCAUGUUUAAAAACUAUCGUACUAAACUUUACACCCUUUAAGCGUGCAGUUCUGAUAUAUUGAGCAGUCAUUACCUCAGCCAUAGAUGCUCGUGUCAUUCGUGCAAUAUAACCCAUGCCAUAAAGUGCUAGUGCCAUUACUGGUAAUGCAAAAUUUCUAAACGU
rnacentral:ncRNA from 1 species